rnacentral:rRNA from 1 species
GCAGUCGAGCGACUGAUGAAGAGCUUGCUUUUGAUCAGUUAGCGGCGGACGGGUGAGUAACACGUGGGUAACCUGCCUGUAAGACUAGGAUAACUCCGGGAAACCGGGGCUAAUACUGGAUAACUUUUCUCUCCGCAUGGAGGGAGAUUGAAAGAUGGCUUCGGCUAUCACUUACAGAUGGACCCGCGGCGCAUUAGCUAGUUGGUGAGGUAACGGCUCACCAAGGCAACGAUGCGUAGCCGACCUGAGAGGGUGAUCGGCCACAUUGGGACUGAGACACGGCCCAAACUCCUACGGGAGGCAGCAGUAGGGAAUCUUCCGCAAUGGACGAAAGUCUGACGGAGCAACGCCGCGUGAGUGAAGAAGGUCUUCGGAUCGUAAAACUCUGUUGUUAGGGAAGAACAAGUAUCGUUCGAAUAGGGCGGUACCUUGACGGUACCUAACCAGAAAGCCACGGCUAACUACGUGCCAGCAGCCGCGGUAAUACGUAGGUGGCAAGCGUUGUCCGGAAUUAUUGGGCGUAAAGCGCGCGCAGGCGGUCUUUUAAGUCUGAUGUGAAAGCCCACGGCUCAACCGUGGAGGGUCAUUGGAAACUGGAAGACUUGAGUGCAGAAGAGGAGAGUGGAAUUCCACGUGUAGCGGUGAAAUGCGUAGAGAUGUGGAGGAACACCAGUGGCGAAGGCGACUCUCUGGUCUGUAACUGACGCUGAGGCGCGAAAGCGUGGGGAGCAAACAGGAUUAGAUACCCUGGUAGUCCACGCCGUAAACGAUGAGUGCUAA